UCCCUGGUGGUCCAGUGGUUGAGACUCUGCACUCCCAUUGCAGGGGGCCCAGGUUCAAUCCCUGACUGGGGAA
rfam:Ovis aries breed Texel chromosome 2, whole genome shotgun sequence.